AAUGAACGUUGGCGGCAUGGAUUAGGCAUGCAAGUCGCACGAGAAGUUUUUCUUAGCUUGCUUUGAAAAACGGACAGUGGCGAAAGGGAGAGUAACGCGUGGUUACGUGCCCUCGGGACCGGGAUAGCGUUGGGAAACUGGCGGUAAUACCGGAUAACAUCUGCGGAUCAAAUGGUGUGAUUCCGCCCGAGGAUCGGGCCGCGUACUAUUAGCUUGUUGGUGAGGUAACGGCUCACCAAGGCUGCGAUGGUUACCGGGUGUGAGAGCAUGGCCCGGCUCACUGGGACUGAGACACUGCCCAGACAUCUACGGAUGGCUGCAGUCGAGAAUCUUCGGCAAUGGACGAAAGUCUGACCGAGCGAUGCCGCGUGCGGGAUGAAGGCCCUCGGGUUGUAAACCGCUGUCAGUUGUUUAGGAAAUGCAUGAGGGUCAUCCC
rnacentral:rRNA from 1 species